UUAAGCUACAAAGAGCGUAGGGUGAAUAGCUAGGCACCAAGAGCCGAAGAAGGACGUGAUAAGCUGCGAAAAGCUUUGGGUAGGAGCAAAUAUCCAUUAAUCCAGAGAUAUCCGAAUGAGGGAACUCACUUAGAGCAAACAAUCUAAGUAUCCAUAUAUGAGUAAAGUAGUAUAUGAGAAGGGAACGUGGGGAACUGAAACAUCUUAGUACCCACAGGAAAAGAAAGAGAAAUCGAUUCCUAGAGUAGUGGCGAGCGAAAUAGGAAGAGCCUAAACCAUGAGUAGUAAUACACAUGGGGUUCGGACCACGAUAUAUUAUCAACAAUUCUAAUAGAAAUGUUUUGGAAAAGCAUACCAUAGACGGUGAAAGUCCAGUAUAUGAAAGAAAAGUUGAGAUUAGUGGUAUCCAGAGUAGUACGAGACACGAGAAAUCUCGUAUGAAUAAGCGGGGACCAUCCCGUAAGGCUAAAUACUACUUGGUGACCGAUAGUGAACUAGUACCGUGAGGGAAAGGUGAAAAGAACCCCGGGAGGGGAGUGAAAUAGAACAUGAAACCCUAUGUUUACAAGCAGACAAAGCACUUUAUAUGUGCGAUGUCGUACUUUUUGUAGAACGGUCCAGCGAGUUAUUGUGUAUGGCGAGGUUAAGUAUUACGUAAGGUACGGAGCCGAAGCGAAAGCGAGUCUGAAAAGGGCGAUAUAAGUCAUGCAUAAUAGACCCGAAACUGAGUGACCUAUCCAUGAGCAGGAUGAAGCUAGAGUAAAAUCUAGUGGAGGUCCGAACUGAUUGUCGUUAAAAAGGCACCGGAUGACUUGUGGAUAGCGGAGAAAUUCCAAUCGAACUCAGAGAUAGCUGGUUCUCCUCGAAAUAGCUUUAGGGCUAGCCUUGAGGGAAUGCAUAUGGGGGUAGAGCACUGAAUGAGGUAGGGGCCUAACCAGGUUACCAAACUCUAUCAAACUCCGAAUACCAUAUGUAAAUACUCAGGAGUCAGACUGCGGGAGCUAAGUUCCGUGGUCAAAAGGAAAACAGUCCAGAUCGUCAAUUAAGGUCCCAAAGAUAUAGCUAAGUGGAAAACGAUGUGAUUUUGCAUAAACAACCAGGAUGUUGGCUCAGAAGCAGCCAUUCAUUCAAAGAGUGCGUAAUAGCUCACUGGUCGAGUGAAGUUGCGCGGAAAAUUACCGGGGCUAAGCUAUACACCGAAAUUGCGGAUUUACAUUUGAAAGACAAUGUAAGUGGUAGAGGAGCAUUCUGUAGUAGGAAGAAGCAUGACCGUAAGGACAUGUGGACGAAGCAGAAGAGAGAAUGCUGGAAUAAGUAGCGAGAGGAUGGUGAGAAUCCAUCCCGUCGAAAAUCUAAGGUUUCCCAGGGAAGGUUCGUCCGCCUGGGGUAAGUCGGGACCUAAGGAGAGGCCGAAAGGCGUAUCUGAUGGAUAGCAGGUUGAAAUUCCUGCACUACGAAUAUACUUAAAAGAUUCAAGGGACGCAGAAGUGGAAGAUAACCAAGUAAGAGGAAAAGCUUGGCUCGCAAGAGGGAGUGAAAAUUAAAAGUAACGAAGUAUCAAGAAGCACGCUGACGAGAAAAGCUUGAAGAUAUUGUAUAUAAGUACCCGUACCGCAAACCGACACAGGUAGAUGAGGAGAGGAUCCUAAGACGAGCGGGAGAAGCAUUGUUAAGGAACUCGGCAAAUUAACCCCGUAACUUCGGAAUAAGGGGUGCUGAUGUAACAGUCAGUCGCAGAGAAAAGGCCCAAGCAACUGUUUAACAAAAACAUAGGUUUCUGCUAAAUCGAAAGAUGAAGUAUAGGAGCUGACGCCUGCCCAGUGCUGGAAGGUUAAGGGAAAGAGUUAGGGUUAAACCGAAGCUUAGAACUGAAGCCCCAGUGAACGGCGGCCGUAACUAUAACGGUCCUAAGGUAGCGAAAUUCCUUGUCAGGUAAG
rnacentral:rRNA from 1 species